GGGGGCAUAGCUCAAUUGGGAGAGCGACAGACUGAAGUAACGUAGAAGGGGAGAUAUUCUGCAGGUCCCCAGUUCAAUUCUGGGUGCCCCCA